rnacentral:lncRNA from 10 species
CACGAUUCGCCCAUUUUAAAUGUGUGCUUCAGCAGGUUUUAGUCUAUUCACAGAGUUGCACAACCAUGAUCACAAUCAGUUUUAGAACAUUUUCAUCAUCCCAAGAAGAAAUCUGUACUCUUGCCAGGAGCAAUGGCUCCCGCCUGUAGUCUCAGCGAUGAGGGAGGAUUGCUUAAGUCUGGGAGUUCAAGACCAGCGUAGGCAACAUUAAAAACAAGAAAACCCAAAAAGAACCUUAGCUGGGUGUGGUGACACAAACCUGUAGUCCCAGCUAUUCAUGAGGCUGAGGCAGGACGAUCGCUUGAGCCCGGGAGUUUGAAGCUGCAGUGAGCCAUGAUCCUACCCCUGUACUCUAACUUGGGCGACAGAGCAAGACGACUCAAAAAAACAAACAAAAAAACUAAAACGAAAAACAAAACCAUACUCUUUAUUUUAUUUUUUAGAGAUGGAGUCUAAUUUUGUUGCCUAGAUUGGUCUUCAACUCCUGAAUUCAAGGGAUCCUCUGCCUCAGCCUCCCAAAAUGCUGCAAUUUCAGGUGUGAGCUGCGCCCGGCCAAAACCCUACUCAGGAGCUCUCACCCUCCAGUCUUCUCAGGCCCCGGAGCCCCAGGACCUGUGACCUGUGGAUGGACGUCGCCAAGAGCAGGUAUCUCAUCAGAGAAGGAGAAAUUCCAGCGUCGUUUAAAGGAGGGAAGGGAGAAAAGAAGGAAGAAAAGGAGAGGAAGCCAAACAAGCUCGCCUCUUGCAGGCUUCCUGCGGCCGGGCGGCUACGAGCUCUGCAGUCCUGGGAGCCCUUCACGGCGCAUCACCGCCCCCCGGUGGCCACCAGAAAAAGGAGACACAUUGACCUGGAGUUUCCCCGCUUAGACAAUUUCAUAUGGUUCAACUUAUCCGCACUUUGUCCAGUAGGUCACAUGAUAGGAGAUGGCAGUCUCCUGCCAUCUGGCAAAGGUCAGAAGGCAGGAGGGGCCUGGUCCAGGAUGUCCCAGGCAUGGGACACAGAUGGCUAGUGGCAGCCACAGGAGGAGAAUGACUUGUCCCUGCAUGCAGGAAACCUGGAGAAAGGCACGCAGCCAAGCUUGUACCCACGCUGUGCCACUCAGAAGGAAGCGAAAACUCAGCACUGCACAUGGCCGAGCAGACCAAAAGCGACUGCGAGGGAAGACGUUCAGCCCAGAAGUGGAAGUGAGCUGCUGCUAAGGCUUUCGGGGAACGUAGUCCCUAGCUGUGCCACAUGUCCCUGCGUUCAGGAGGUGCUCUCUUGACAUGUGUGUGCAACACACCUGGCGGAACUACACAUCUCAACCUCAGCUCAUAAAAUGUAUGAUGAUGCCAGUGGGCUUCCUUUGGACACCUCUUUAAAAGGCACACCCAGAUCUUCCUAUUAUUAAUUGUAAACUGGUGGUGUAAACUUUUCUAACCUGUGUGAUGUUACCCUUAAAAUGCCUUCCCACUCCCCAACACUGUCAAAUCCCAUGUUAGGAUCCCUUAACCUGAGCAAAUACAAUUUUCUGCUUACUUUCAGUUAUUGAAACUUAGUCUGACCAUAUAUAUAUAGAGUUUUGUUUUGCUUUUAGAGACAGGUCUUGCUGUGUCACCCAGGCUGGGGUGCAAUGGCAUAAUCAUGGCUCACUGUAGCCUGGACCUGCUGGCCUCAAGCCUCCUGAAGUUCUGGGAUUUUAAGUGUGCCACUGCACCUGGCGAUGAAGCCUGUGGCCUGCCCUGAUGGCACCCCUGGGUCCAGCUUCAUCCCAGCUCUCUGUGUCGAUUCACAGCAGGGCAGCCUAGUUUCCCUUGGGCCUCACGCAAUCCUUGCCUCUAACCAGUCUCAAGGUGAGUUUGGCAGAGCAGCCAUUGACACAGCCUUAUGGCUCCUGCCCACUUGUCCUCCUUCCCAGGAGCUCCAGGUACAGGGUGAACAUACAUCUGGGUUUUAGAGCACAAUCUGAGCUUCCCAUCUGAUUAGCUUCCCCUUCAUUCUCAGGGUCCCUGUUUGGACAAUCAAUUAUAAGGACACCCUAUCCAGGAACCACUGAAAUCCUGACUUGUGAUCUCUGAUGUCAAGGAAAACAGAUGGAGUGGUCCUAUCCUUUCCUUCCCAGGGAUAACACAAAUGCAGACCCUUAGAGAUCUCCACUCUGCUGCUAGGGACUAAUCCAGCAGCAGCCCCCUCCCUUCUGAAAUCUCCAGACAGUUGGGGGCACCCCUCUCUGUUCGAUCCUUUACCACCUUCCACCUCCACACUACAGGGAACACAUUUUAAGGAACAAACAUUAAGUUCUCCCAAGAACUCCAGGUGACAGCUGUGAAGUGGGCCUGUGGUUUUGCUGGAGAUGGAGAUGCCAAGCUCCCAUGCUUUCAGAUCUCCCAAUAUCUCAUUCUUGGUGCCCAAGUCCCCCACCCCUGUAGGGGCAGGGUAGGGGCUUCAUCCCAGGAGCAUGAGGCCCAUCUCCUCUGGAUCAGAACCUCCUUACAUGGUUUUUAUAUCUAUAGGGGCCAAGGAUCAAGUGGCUCUGUGACUCUCACAUCUAGUGAGUCCUAUGGGACCAUGUGUCCAGUCUCUGUGACACCCUUUAGAAAGCAGAGGAAUGUGACAUUUUGUUUUCACCUUAGGAGCUUUAUCAGCAACUCCAAGCCAACAGAAAAGUCCCUGUCAAGAUCCUGUGAGAACUCUAACUUUGGAAUUGCAAAUUGCCAGUUUUUUAAUGCAGACAGUAAAAUAAAAGCCCCAUUAAUUACUACAAUAAUAC